GUUGGUGGGGAGUGGACCGCUGGAGUUCACACAGAAGGUGUACGAGACUCAGGUGCUGGAGAAUACUGCCCCUGGACCCCUUCUUCAGCUCUCCGUCAGGGUACAUGACCGAGGUGAGGCUGUAAGCUUCAGUAUCAAGAAAGGUAACGAGGCUGGUAUAUUCUCCCUUAACCCGAGUACAGGGAGACUGUCACUUCUCCGUCCCCUUGACUACGAGCGACAGAAACAGCACGAACUACUAGUGGAAGUCACUGGCGUCGACGGAGGCAGUGAGGGCAGUGGCCGUGGCAGCAGUGACAUCACCUCCCGUGGCAGCAGUGAAGUCACCUCCCGUGGUAGUAGUGAAGCAAAAGUCCUGGUUGAUGUAGUGGAUGUCAACGAUCACAUCCCUUAUUUCCUGAGACAUCUACACGAGACUCAGAUCACAGAGGAGGAUGAC